GGAGACCUGUGUUCCCCUCAUGGAGCUACAGUUCCCAGAGUUUGAUUAUUUCUUAAACCACUCUUGGAACUGUGGCUCUGUGAGGGGAAUAGGAGUCUC